rfam:Camelus ferus unplaced genomic scaffold scaffold1737, whole genome shotgun sequence.
GAGGGUAUAUCUCAUAUGGUACAGUGUAUGCUUAGCAUGCACGAGAUCCUGGGUUCAAUCCCCAGUAUCUCCA